rnacentral:rRNA from 1 species
AGUGAACGCUGGCGGCGUGCCUAACACAUGCAAGUCGAACGGAGUGGCGCACGGGUGAGUAAUGUAUAGCUAAUCUGCCCUACACUAGAGGACAACAGCUGGAAACGACUGCUAAUACUCUAUAGUGUAGGAUGAGGCUAUAUUGUAUCAGCUAGUUGGUGAGGUAAUGGCUCACCCAGGCUAUGACGCAUAACUGGUCUGAGAGGAUGAUCAGUCGAACUGGAACUGAGACACUGUCCGGGCUCCUACGGGAGGCAGCAGUAGGGAAUAUUGCUCAAUGGGGGAAACCCUGAAGCGGCAACGCCGCGUGGAGGAUGACACUUUUCGGAGCAUAAACUCCUUUUGUUAGGGAAGCGGUACCUGACGAAUAAGCACCGGCUAACUCCGUGCCAGCCGCCGCGGUAAUUC